AGAGUUUGAUCCUGGCUCAGAUUGAACGCUGGCGGCAUGCCUUACACAUGCAAGUCGAACGGCAGCACGGGAGCAAUCCUGGUGGCGAGUGGCGAACGGGUGAGUAAUAUAUCGGAACGUGCCCAGUCGUGGGGGAUAACGCAGCGAAAGCUGUGCUAAUACCGCAUACGAUCUCUGGAUGAAAGCGGGGGACUCGCAAGGGCCUCGCGCGAUUGGAGCGGCCGAUAUCAGAUUAGCUAGUUGGUGGGGUAAAAGCCCACCAAGGCGACGAUCUGUAGCUGGUCUGAGAGGACGACCAGCCACACUGGAACUGAGACACGGUCCAGACUCCUACGGGAGGCAGCAGUGGGGAAUUUUGGACAAUGGGCGCAAGCCUGAUCCAGCAAUGCCGCGUGCAGGAUGAAGGCCUUCGGGUUGUAAACUGCUUUUGUACGGAAACGGAAACGGCGGAAGCUCUAAAUAAAAGCUUGCUAAAUGACGUACCGUAAGAA
rnacentral:rRNA from 1 species